rnacentral:rRNA from 1 species
GUCCACGCCCUAAACGAUGAUCACUAGAUGUGUGCGAUACACUGUACGCGUCCAAGCGAAAGCAUUAAGUGAUCCACCUGGGGAGUACGGCCGCAAGGCUGAAACUCAAAGGAAUUGACGGGGGCCCGCACAAGCGGAGGAGCAUGUGGUUUAAUUCGAUGAUACGCGCGGAACCUUACCAGGGCUUGAAAGUUAAGGAAUGAUGUAGAAAUAUGUCAGUCAGCAAUGACCUAAAACUAGGUGCUGCAUGGCCGUCGU